GAGUAAUGUCUGGGAAACUGCCUGAUGGAGGGGGAUAACUACUGGAAACGGUGGCUAAUACCGCAUAACGUCGCAAGACCAAAGAGGGGGACCUUCGGGCCUCUUGCCAUCAGAUGUGCCCAGAUGGGAUUAGCUUGUUGGUGAGGUAACGGCUCACCAAGGCGACGAUCCCUAGCUGGUCUGAGAGGAUGACCAGCCACACUGGAACUGAGACACGGUCCAGACUCCUACGGGAGGCAGCAGUGGGGAAUAUUGCACAAUGGGCGCAAGCCUGAUGCAGCCAUGCCGCGUGUAUGAAGAAGGCCUUCGGGUUGUAAAGUACUUUCAGCGGGGAGGAAGGUGUUGUGGUUAAUAACCGCAGCAAUUGACGUUACCCGCAGAAGAAGCACCGGCUAACUCCGUGCCAGCAGCCGCGGUAAUACGGAGGGUGCAAGCGUUAAUCGGAAUUACUGGGCGUAAAGCGCACGCAGGCGGUCUGUCAAGUCGGAUGUGAAAUCCCCGGGCUCAACCUGGGAACUGCAUUCGAAACU
rnacentral:rRNA from 1 species